UGAGUACGAGACGCUACGGCGUUGAAGCAGUGUAUGUCAGACUUCCAAGAAAAGCUCGCAAUGUCGUAAAUAAAUAAUGCCUGUACCAUAACCGACACAGGUGGGUAGGUAGAGUAUACUAAGGGGCGCGAGAUAACUCUCUCUAAGGAACUCGGCAAAAUGACUCCGUAACUUCGGGAGAAGGAGUGCCUUUUUUAAGGUUGCAAUAACAAGAUCCAAGCAACUGUUUAUCAAAAACACAGGUCUCCGCUAAGUCGAAAGACGAUGUAUGGGGGCUGACGCCUGCCCAGUGCCAGAAGGUUAAAGAAGUUGGUUAGCACUAGCGAAUCUGAUAACUGAAGCCCUAGUGAACGGCGGCCGUAACUAUAACGGUCCUAAGGUAGCGAAAUUCCUUGUCGGGUAAGUUCCGACCCGCACGAAAGGCGUAAUGAUUUGGAUACUGUCUCAGAGAGGGGCUCGGUGAAAUAGACUCGUCUGUGAAGAUGCGGACUACCUGCACCAGGACAGAAAGACCCUAUGAAGCUUUACUGUAACUUGAAAUUGAAAUUGGACUUUACUUGCGCAGUAUAGGUGGGAGGCGUUGAUAAUACUCUUGCGGGAGGAUUGGAGCCAUCAGUGAGAUACCACUCUUGUAAUGUUAGAUUUCUAACUUUGUAUCAUUAUCUGGUCAAAGGACAGUUUCAGGCGGGCAGUUUGACUGGGGCGGUCGCCUCCUAAACGGUAACGGAGGCGUACAAAGGUUUCCUCUGAACGGGUAGAAAUCGUAUCUAGAGUGUAAAGGCAUAAGGAAGCUUGACUGUGAGACCUACAAGUCGAGCAGGGACGAAAGUCGGUCUUAGUGAUCUGACGGUGCUGAGUGGAAAGGCCGUCACUCAACGGAUAAAAGUUACUCUAAGGAUAACAGGCUGAUCUCCCCCAAGAGUUCACAUCGACGGGGAGGUUUGGCACCUUGAUGUCGGCUCAUCGCAUCCUGGGGCGGUAGUACGUCCCAAGGGUUGGGCUGUUCGCCCAUGAAAGCGGUACGCGAGCUGGGUUCAGAACGUCGUGAGACAGUUCGGUCCAUAUCCGGUGUAGGCGUUAGAAUAUUGAGAGGAGCCUUCUUUAGUACGAGAGGACCGAGAAGGACAUACCUCUGGUGUACCAGUUAUCGUGCCAACGGGAAACGCUGGGUAGCUAUGUAUGGAGAGGAUAACCGCUGAAAGCAUCUAAGUGGGAAGCCCACCUCAAGAUAAG
rnacentral:rRNA from 1 species